UGGGGAUUAGUUUAGCGGUAGAACGCCUGACUCUGACUCAGGUAGGCAAGGUUCGAAUCCUUGAUCCCCAGCCA
rnacentral:tRNA from 1 species